rnacentral:rRNA from 1 species
UUUUCCUACGGGAGGCAGCAGUGGGGGAUAUUGCAAAAUGGGGGAAACCCUGAUGCAGCGACGCCGCGUGAGUGAAGAAGUAAUUCGUUAUGUAAAGCUCUAUCAGCAGGGAAGAAAGUGACGGUACCUGAAAAAGAAGCUCCGGCUAAAUACGUGCCAGCAGCCGCGGUAAUACGUAUGGAGCAAGCGUUAUCCGGAUUUACUGGGUGUAAAGGGUGCGUAGACGGCGAUGCAAGUCUGAAGUGA